GUCCCUUAGAGCAAUGGAUAGCUCUUUGGACUUCAAAUUCAAAGGUCAUGGGUUCAAAUUCCACCUGAGAUU